rnacentral:tRNA from 1 species
UGGCGUUGGUGCCGGUGGCGUUGGUGCCGGUGGCGUUGGUGCCGGUGCCGUUGGUGCCGGUCCCGUUGGUGCCGGUCCCGUUGGUGCCGG